UGCAUGGCGAGCUGAUUGAGUUCAACGAGC
rnacentral:piRNA from 1 species